rnacentral:misc_RNA from 1 species
ACCCAAAUUACAGAAACACUCCACUGCAAGUGUUACAUGGUUGUUAUCAACCUGCAGCUACGUCUGCCUACGGUAAAGCGCUAAAGUUUUACCAAUUUGAUAAUGUGAAGUUGUACGAGAUCAAAGUAGAACNCAAGCUGGUAGAAAAUCAUGUUAUCCUAUUGAAUCGAAACGUAAAAACAAAAAAGCAUGAUAUGAGCUGGGAACAAUAGUAGCAUUAGCUGCUAUAUCUCUACAACUUUGCAUGUAUGGAACAGCUUCGGCUGAUUAAAUGGUUGUUGCGCCAAUUGCGGACACCUCUUUGAUAGAGCGCACUAGUUCUAUCAGUCACUUUGGCUAUACCUGGUAUGAAUGUACCUACGUACAGUCGAGAAAACCGACAGGGUGUCUACCCGUCUGAUGCUCUUACGGUAUGCUAAUGGUUCUCGAAUUGUUAGUCCAUACCGCUGGGUGACGGGCUGUACUGUCCUCGGGCAGUGCUAGGCUUAAUGAGUGGUGCUAGCCAAGGCUUAUCCACCGCCCUGUUUGAUUGUUUCCUAUCAUUUUACACUGUUUAAGUGGUUCAGCUUCGGCUUGGAUCCAUUGACCCAACAUGCACCCGGCCUCGUGCUGGACUGCAUGUGCAGUCCGGCCCUGGCUGGUGCCUUAUCCCGGGCUGGACUUGCUAAUUAUACAUCGUUCAUUGGGGUGACCUGAUGUGCGAGGUG